UGGUCUUAAGAAGGAAUUCUUUAAUGCAAAGAAAAAAAGAAAAGCUCUGUAUAAGCUUUGUCCAGAAUAUGUGGACAGCGACCAAUGGCGUGAACUUGUCAACUAUUGGAAAUCCAAAGAAGGAAGGGCAGUUAGUGAGAAGAACAAAAUUAGCCGAGCAUCUGUGAAAACAUCUCAUACAGCUGGUACAAAGAGUUAUGCUCGUUGGGCUGAGGACCUUCGACAAGAAGAUCCUGAAAAGAAACAACCACAUAGAG